GGCCUAACACAUGCAAGUCGCGCGAGAAAGGGCUUCGGCCCCAGUAAAGCGGCGCACGGGUGAGUAACACGUAGGUCAUCUUCCCCUGAGUGGUGGAUAACUCUCCGAAAGGAGAGCUAAUACAGCAUAAGACCACGACCUCGCCGAGGUUGUGGCCAAAGCAGACCUCUUCAUGAAAGUUUGCGCUUAGGGAUGAGCCUGCGGCCCAUCAGCUAGUUGGUAGGGUAAUGGCCUACCAAGGCUAAGACGGGUAGCUGGUCUGAGAGGAUGAACAGCCACACUGGAACUGAGACACGGUCCAGACUCCUACGGGAGGCAGCAGUGGGGAAUCUUGCGCAAUGGGCGAAAGCCUGACGCAGCGACGCCGCGUGAGCGAUGAAGGCCUUCGGGUUGUAAAGCUCUGUGGGGAGGGAAGAAUAAGUCUUGGCUAAUAUCCAAGAUGAUGACGGUACCUCCUUAGCAAGCACCGGCUAACUCUGUGCCAGCAGCCGCGGUAAGACAGAGGGUGCAAACGUUGUUCGGAAUUACUGGGCGUAAAGCGCGUGUAGGCGGCUAAGUAAGUCGGGCGUGAAAUCCCACGGCUCAACCGUGGAAGUGCACUCGAAACUGCAUAGCUAGAGUCCUGGAGAGGAAGGUGGAAUGCUUGGUGUAGAGGUGAAAUUCGUAGAUAUCAAGCGGAACACCGGUGGCGAAGGCGGCCUUCUGGACAGUGACUGACGCUGAGACGCGAAAGCGUGGGGAGCAAACAGGAUUAGAUACCCUGGUAGUCCACGCCGUAAACGAUGAGUGCUAGGUGUCACGGGCUUUG
rnacentral:rRNA from 1 species